UAUCUUUUUCUUGCUAUUAUCGAUAUUAUCAUUCAUUAUUAUUAUUAUUAUUAUUAAUUCCAGAUGUUUAAGAGAAUAAUUUAGAUGAUGAUGUUUAAAGUGUCAUCAAAUAAUUAUAUUUUUCUUGCUAUUAUUAUUUUUUAUUUAUUUAUUAUUAUUUGUAUUAUUAUUACUAUUAUCAUUAUUUAUUCCAGAUGUCCAAGAGAAUAUUUAGAUGAUGUGUCAUCAAAUAAUUGUGUUUUUCUUCCUAUUAUUAGUAUUAUUAUUUAUUAUUAAUUAUAAUUAUAAUAGUUAUCUUUUUCUAUUUUAGGGACUUUCCAUUUUGCUGACUGGCUGUUUUGCAGAUCAGAAGGUUCGAGAGGAACUGUGGAAGAUCUUUAAGAAGGACAAGAAAAGAGCAGAAAAAUUCAACAACAAACUUGAAGGGAAAAUCUGAUGGAUUUUUUUUAUUGUUGUAUUGUUUUUUUUUCUGUUCAGUUUUCUAAUAUCUGAUGUAAUUUUUUUUGUAUCCGUAUCAAACGGAUCCUAUUAAAAUCAAUUAUUUGUUGUUUUAUGAAAUGCAAGAAUAAUAAUCUGUUUGGACCGAACAUAUUAAAGUUGAAAUGGUCA